rnacentral:rRNA from 1 species
UGCCAGACUCCUACGGGAGGCAGCAGUGAGGAAUAUUGGUCAAUGGCCGGAAGGCUGAACCAGCCAAGUCGCGUGAAGGAAGAAGGCUUUCGGGUUGUAAACUUCUUUUCUCAGGGACGAAGCAAGUGACGGUACCUGAGGAAUAAGCCACGGCUAACUACGUGCCAGCAGCCGCGGUAAUACGUAGGUGGCAAGCGUUAUCCGGAUUUACUGGGUGUAAAGGGCGUGUAGGCGGGGACGCAAGUCAGAUGUGAAAACCACGGGCUCAACCUGUGGCCUGCAUUUGAAACUGUGUUUCUUGAGUACUGGGGAGGCAGACGGAAUUCCUAGUGUAGCGGUGAAAUGCGUAGAUAUUAGGAGGAACACCAGUGGCGAAGGCGGUCUGCUGGACAGCAACUGACGCUGAGGCGCGAAAGCGUGGGGAGCAAACAGGAUUAGAUACCCUCGUA